rnacentral:lncRNA from 1 species
GAGAAGAGAGGAACAGGAUCUCCUGGAAUCUGUAUCUCUGUGCCCAGGGAAGCAUGCUUUUCUGGGAGGACCCCAAAAGAAGGCUUACAGUUUCAGCCUGCUUUGCAGUCAGGGCCUGAGCCCAGGAUCCCUGGGACAGGAAGCAGCAGCAGUUAAACAGUCACACAUCAGUGCUCCAGCAAGUGAACUGAGGUGCAUCCAACUAAGGAGCAGAUCCAGGACCAGAGGAAAUAAAAUUAUCUGGGAGCAGGGCCAGGAAGGUGCUGGUCUGCACGGUCGAUGCAUUUUCAACGAGCAGUGAUUCUGUUCCUCAUCUUUCAUUGCUUUAUGGGACUUCAGGGAAUGAAAGCAUAACAUCCUGCUUUCCCAUAAGUUCUCUGGCUGCUACACUGGCACCAAUUAAAGACAUGUCUAUGCAAUUAAUCAAAACCAAUUUGGAAGCACUCUGGUGCUGCUCCUCUGAUGUGCUGCCUGCUCCACAUACAGUAGUUCCUCAGCUGCGGUGAUGGAGCCAGGCACAUAGGAGCUUUUGAUGAACUGGCUGUACUGGCCCCAAGUGUUAACUAUGUCAUCUGACAUGACUAAUGAGGCUCCGGACUUGAUCCGCGUGAGCGGAGCAGCCCUGCUGUCUGGAGGAGGCUCAGUUUCCACAGCCAGCCUGGGAAGAGGCUGCAACGUGCAGGGUACACACUGCAUCAUGUCAGCUGGAGU